rnacentral:rRNA from 1 species
UACGUAGGGUGCGAGCGUUGUCCGGAAUUACUGGGCGUAAAGAGCUCGUAGGUGGUUUGUCGCGUUGUUCGUGAAAUCUCACGGCUUAACUGUGAGCGUGCGGGCGAUACGGGCAGACUGGAGUACUGCAGGGGAGACUGGAAUUCCUGGUGUAGCGGUGGAAUGCGCAGAUAUCAGGAGGAACACCGGUGGCGAAGGCGGCAUCCUGGACCGACACUGACGCUGAGGAGCGAAAGCCAGGGGAGCAAACGGG